UACGUAGGGUGCGAGCGUUAAUCGGAAUUACUGGCGUAAAGCGUGCGCAGGCGGUGAUGUAAGACCGAUGUGAAAUCCCCGGGCUUAACCUGGGAACUGCAUUGGUGACUGCAUUGCUGGAGUAUGGCAGAGGGGGGGUGGAAUUCCACGUGUAGCAGUGAAAUGCGUAGAGAUGUGGAGGAACACCGAUGGCGAAGGCAGCCCCCUGGGCCAAUACUGGCGCUCAUGCACGAAAGCGUGGGGAGCAA
rnacentral:rRNA from 1 species